AGACCCGAAACCCGGUGAUCUAGCCAUGGGCAGGUUGAAGGUUGGGUAACACUAACUGGAGGACCGAACCGACUAAUGUUGAAAAAUUAGCGGAUGACCUGUGGCUGGGGGUGAAAGGCCAAUCAAACCGGGAGAUAGCUGGUUCUCCCCGAAAGCUAUUUAGGUAGCGCCUCGUGAAUUCAUCUCCGGGGGUAGAGCACUGUUUCGGCUAGGGGGCCAUCCCGGCUUACCAACCCGAUGCAAACUGCGAAUACCGGAGAAUGUUAUCACGGGAGACACACGGCGGGUGCUAACGUCCGUCGUGAAGAGGGAAACAACCCAGACCGCCAGCUAAGGUCCCAAAGUCAUGGUUAAGUGGGAAACGAUGUGGGAAGGCCCAGACAGCCAGGAUGUUGGCUUAGAAGCAGCCAUCAUUUAAAGAAAGCGUAAUAGCUCACUGGUCGAGUCGGCCUGCGCGGAAGAUGUAACGGGGCUAAACCAUGCACCGAAGCUGCGGCAGCGACACUAUGUGUUGUUGGGUAGGGGAGCGUUCUGUAAGCCUGUGAAGGUGUGUCGUGAGGCAUGCUGGAGGUAUCAGAAGUGCGAAUGCUGACAUAAGUAACGAUAAAGCGGGUGAAAAGCCCGCUCG
rnacentral:rRNA from 1 species